rfam:Ictidomys tridecemlineatus contig101952, whole genome shotgun sequence.
AGAUGUGUAGCUCAAUGGUAGAGCACAUGCCUGGUGUGCUUGAGGACCUAGGUUUGCUUCCUAGCACUACAA